GACGAGCGGCGGACGGGUGAGUAAUGCUUGGGAAACUGCCUGAGAGUGGGGGACAACAGUUGGAAACGACUGCUAAUACCGCAUAAUGUCUUCGGACCAAAGGAGGGGCUCUUCGGACCUUUCGCUUUCAGAUGUGCCCAAGUGGGAUUAGCUAGAUGGUGGGGUAAUGGCCUACCAUGGCGACGAUCCCUAGCUGGUUUGAGAGGAUGAUCAGCCACACUGGGACUGAGACACGGCCCAGACUCCUACGGGAGGCAGCAGUGGGGAAUAUUGCACAAUGGGCGAAAGCCUGAUGCAGCCAUGCCGCGUGUGUGAAGAAGGCCUUCGGGUUGUAAAGCACUUUCAGUUGUGAGGAAGGUGUGUAGGUUAAUACCCUGCGCAUUUGACGUUAGCAACAGAAGAAGCACCGGCUAACUCCGUGCCAGCAGCCGCGGUAAUACGGAGGGUGCGAGCGUUAAUCGGAAUUACUGGGCGUAAAGCGUACGC
rnacentral:rRNA from 1 species